rnacentral:rRNA from 1 species
AAGACCUUGCGCUUUUGGAGCGGCCGAMGUCUGAUUAGCUAGUUGGUGGGGUAAUGGCCUACCAAAGCUUCGAUCAGUAGCUGGUCUGAGAGGACGGCCAGCCACACUGGGACUGAGACACGGCCCAGACUCCUACGGGAGGCAGCAGUGGGGAAUUUUGGACAAUGGGCGCAAGCCUGAUCCAGCCAUGCCGCGUGAGUGAAGAAGGCCUUCGGGUUGUAAAGCUCUUUCAGCCGGGAAGAAAAGGUUGCGAUUAACAAUCGCAAUUGAUGACGGUACCGGAAGAAGAAGCACCGGCUAACUACGUGCCAGCAGCCGCGGUAAUACGUAGGGUGCGAGCGUUAAUCGGAAUUACUGGGCGUAAAGGGUGCGCAGGCGGUUUUGUAAGUCAGAUGUGAAKUCCCCGGGCUUAACCUGGGAACU